rnacentral:rRNA from 1 species
GACGAACGCUGGCGGCGUGCUUAACACAUGCAAGUCGAACGGAAAGGCCCUGCUUUUGUGGGGUGCUCGAGUGGCGAACGGGUGAGUAACACGUGAGUAACCUGCCCUUGACUUUGGGAUAACUUCAGGAAACUGGGGCUAAUACCGGAUAGGAGCUCCUGCUGCAUGGUGGGGGUUGGAAAGUUUCGGCGGUUGGGGAUGGACUCGCGGCUUAUCAGCUUGUUGGUGGGGUAGUGGCUUACCAAGGCUUGGACGGGUAGCCGGCCUGAGAGGGUGACCGGCCACAUUGGGACUGGGAUACGGCCCAGACUCCUACGGGAGGCAGCAGUGGGGAAUAUUGCACAAUGGGCGGAAGCCUGAUGCAGCAACGCCGCGUGCGGGAUGACGGCCUUCGGGUUGUAAACCGCGUUCGCCUGUGACGAAGCGUGAGUGACGGUAAUGGGUAAAGAAGCACCGGCUAACUACGUG